UCUGUACGGGAAGGAUGAGAAGCUUCGACUAAGGUUCGAUUCGAGCGCAGCGAGAAAGCGUUGCCGCAGGCAACGACCCGAAGGGCGAAGCGCGCAGCGCUGAGUCAUCCUUCCCCCACCACCA
rnacentral:sRNA from 1 species